rnacentral:rRNA from 1 species
UACAGAGGUCCCAAGCGUUGUUCGGAUUUACUGGGCGUAAAGGGUGCGUAGGCGGCAGGGUAAGUUUGAGGUGAAAGCUCCGGGCUCAACCCGGAAAAUGCCUUGAAAACUAUCCUGCUGGAGGGUUGGAGGGGAGACUGGAAUUCCCGGUGUAGCAGUGAAAUGCGUAGAUCUCGGGAGGAACACCAGUGGCGAAGGCGAGUCUCUGGACAACACCUGACGCUGAGGCACGAAAGCCAGGGGAGCAAACGGG